rnacentral:rRNA from 1 species
AUUGAACGCUGGCGGCAGGCCUAACACAUGCAAGUCGAGCGGAGCGGCGGACGGGCGAGUAAUGCCUAGGAAUCUGCCUGGUAGUGGGGGAUAACGUCCGGAAACGGGCGCUAAUACCGCAUACUAUCAGAUGAGCCUAGGUCGGAUUAGCUAGUUGGUGGGGUAAAGGCCUACCAUGGCGACGAUCCGUAACUGGUCUGAGAGGAUGAUCAGUCACACUGAAACUGAGAGACGGUCCAGACUCCGACGGGAGGCAGCAGUGGAGAAUAUUGGACAAUGGGCGAAAGCCUGAUCCAGCCAUGCCGCGGGUGUGAAGAAGGUCUUCGGAUUGUAAAGCACUGUAAGUUGGGAGGCGUUACCAGCAGAAGAAGCACCGGCUAACUUCGUGCCAGCAGCCGCGGUAAUUC